rnacentral:rRNA from 1 species
AGUCAAUGCUUUGUUCAAGGGCUAAGCCAUGCAAGUCUCAGCGCACAUGGUCACAACAGUGGGUCUGUGAAUGGCUCCUUACAUCAGCAGUCAUCUCCGCGACAGAGUGUGGUCGGCACCAGCCAGCCCAUCGGUGCCCAGUUGGACAUCCUCCAAAACCUGGUGGCUAAUACACGAUCGCCCCGGUCGGCAGUGGCUACACACUUGGGUGUUCCAGGCGCUUCCACGCUCGGCCCCCGCUAACAGAGGGGUAUGGUGGUUGAUGGAACCCAGCCGGCACGAAGACCAGCGUCCCUUACCGGACAGUGUGUUGUGGUUGACCCAGGCUGGUCCCAACUGGGACGGUUGCGUUGGCAGAGUUCGGUGGCCCCUUAACGAGCCACAAGCGUCGGCUUGGUCGCACGAACUUCUGACCUAUCAGCCUCGACUGUGGUGUCGGGGACCACAGUGACCUUGACGGGUACCGGAGAAUCAGGGUUCGAUUCCGGAGAGGGAGCCUGAGAGACGGCUACCACUACCAAGGUGGGCAGCAGGCGCAAAAAUUGCCCAAUGCAAACCACUUCUGCGAGGCAGCGACGAACUGCAGCAAUUCCACUGGCUUCUUUGCCAGUGGGACGUGGAAUGGAUGCAAUCCAAAGACAGUGUUGAGUAACAACUGGAGGGCAAGUCUGGUGCCAGCAGCUGCGGUAAUUCCAGCUCCAAGGGCGUAUACUAACAUUGCUGCGGUUAAAACACUUGUAGUCCGCCACUGGGUCGCAGGUCUGCCAGUCGGCCGUGCCGUGUUGCGGCGGGCGCCCCGCCCUGCCACCCACUCCCGUGUCGUGGCCCCUCGGGGUCGCGUCCGGGUGCGGGUGGGUGGCGCUUGGGCCCCGUUUGCCGCGGUGCGGGCAAAACCACCGGUGGUAUGCUCCUGCACCCGCCAGGUCUGCUCGCGACGGUGAGAUCUGCUCCUGCCCAAAGGCCCCCUUCACUGGACAACCACAGGCGGACCGGUGCCUCCAUUGCCCGUGCCCGGUACCCUUUGCAACCGCCCGUCCACCUCCGGAGCCCACCGUCACAGACAGCGUGGAAAGCUCAGUGUGCUCAAGGCCUCCACCACUCGGCUGGAUGCCCGUCCAUGGCAUGUCAACGUACCGACCAAGCGCGGCAAAGUGGAGUUGUGCUGGCCUUGGCGCCCACUCUGGGCAAUGUGGUGCGCGCACCGGGCGCCCGCCGUCCGCAGCAAGACCCGUUCCUCCGCCGCUUCGCCGACGGGGCGGGCGGGACCCUGGUGGGCGACGGGCCGUGCGGCAACGCGCAUCGACCGAAUCCGAUGGGACCAGUCAGAGUGGAAGGUACUACGGCGCCAGAGGUGAAAUUCGUAGACUGCCGCAAGACCACCGGCGGCGAAGGCGCUUUGCAAGGCUGUGUUCGUCGAUCAAGAACGAGAGUCCGGGGAGCAAAGUUGAUCAGACACCGUCGUAGUCCGGCACCGUCAACUGUGCCAGCUCGGGCUCGGCGUGGAAAUUCUAUCGACCUCGCCGGGGCCACGCCCCCUCCAACGAGCAAUCAAAGCCCACGGGUUCCGGGGGGAGUACCUUCGCAAGGCUGAAACUUAAAGGAAUUGACGGAAUGGCACCACAAGGCGUGGAGUAUGCGGCUUAUUUUGACUCACACCGGGGAAUGUUUCCAGGCCAGGACAUC